AUGUGAUUGAUGGGUUGAACUUGGAACCAAUAUGACUCAUGAAAGUAAAGCUUCGUGGGGACAAGAAAUGGAUGGGCAAUAUUAAGCUUGGAUCCCUUUAUUCUACUGCUACACAUGGGGAGCGGCACUCUCUUCAGUAGGAAAUUCGUCCAUAUCAUGGUUGUAUCGCACACCAUGAAUUGUAGAUUCAAUGAACGAAUAACAAGUGGCUUCGAUUACACACUUAGCACAACAAACGAAAGGACGAAAAUUUGUCAUACUUCCAACUUAAAGAGAAGUAGAUUUCUUAAGUUUUUAUUUGCCAUACAUCCUAUUUGUGAUAAUACAUACAAACAGAAUGUAUAACGACAUUGAUUCAAUACAAAUCAUAGGAAAUUAGAAUCUCUGUA